AAAGUUUUAAGUUAUAUAAACUAAAGGCCUUCAAAGCCUUCAAAGAAAGUAUUAAUCUUUUAAACUUUA
rnacentral:tRNA from 1 species